CUUCUCAUUUCUUGGGGGAGCUUCUUGUCUCGUAUUUUCUUGACUGUCUGAUUGGGGACCCAAGCUCACUCUGGCAUAGCAACCACACUUGUCUCUGCUCUGUUCUCUGAUAUUCAAGAAUCCAUGGGUGACUGGCGUGUCUACAUGGCUCCUCUCUGACUGCUGCUCUCAGCUGUUCAUCAGCAUCGAAACUUCCAGAUUUCUCCCAGAAGCAGGAAAGAAGAUGCUACAAAAUGUGCUUAGGAAUGAGGGAAAUGUUCUGGUCCCACCAAGAUUGGUCCAGCUCUCUCUCGGCCCACUGGGAAAGUAACACCACCACAGGCUUCUAGACCCAGAAGGACAUCAAUUUGAAUUGCUCACCAUUUUCUGGCUGAAAAAAAAAAUUCACCAUGCUGAAGCCUAGAAUGUGAUUAGAAAAGAACAGUUCUAACCUCAGACUCAUAAUCUGGAUGGAUAGAGUUUUGCUGUCAAAUAAGUUCUGGAAUGUUCAGUUGCUAAGAAAGCAGUAAGACCUCAGCAUCUUUGAAAGUUAAUGGUCAUGUGACCAUUGUGUCACUCUUGGUGCUGUCUGUCCUGACACGAAUGCUGCGUAGUCGGAAUCAUGCAGGAUAUAGACUUCUCAGACUGACUGGCUUCUUUCACUUAAUGACAUGCUUGACCCUCUACCUCCUCAUGGCUUCAUACUUCAUUUCAUCUUAGCACUGAAGAUAUUCAAUUGUCUAGUUUUAAACUGGAAAAAAAAAUCUUAGUUAAAAUACUUGAAAUAAAGAUGUGAUUUUGAACAACCAAGUUCCAUGUUAAAAAGUAGUGUAGCGGGGCGGGCAUUGAGUCUAACCCUGGCUAAGAGACCCAUCUCCCACACCAGGGUACCUGGCCUUGACACCUGGUUCCGGGUCUUGAGUCUAACUUCCAGCUAAUGCAGGUCCUCAAAU